rnacentral:misc_RNA from 1 species
CUUGAUGCAUCAGUUUUCCCUUCAGAUGAUGGCGAGGAUGGCGCUUGGGCUGUUCUAACUGAAAAAGCUGGAGUUUGGGCUAUACCUGAGAGGGCAGUUUUACUUGGUGGAGUUGAACCACCGGAGAGAAGUUUGUCACGUAAAGGAAGCUCUAAUGAGAGGUCAUCUCUGGAAGAGAGGAAAAAUUUAUCUUUUUCAGGUAAUGUUGCUCCAAGAAG